CCCAGGUUCCGCCCGGGCCCGCGAGCUGCGGCCUCCGGGACCCGGCGCCCGCCGCCGCUCAGCCGGGACGCGACCCCGCAGCCACGCGCUGCCCUUGGCGCUAUGGACCCGGCGCUGGCCGCGCAGAUGGGCGAGACGGUGGCGGAGAAGAUGCUCCAGUACCGGCGAGACAAGUCAGGAUGGAAAAUUUGCCGGGAAGCCAAUGGAGUCUCGGUUUCCUGGAGGCCAUCUAUGGAGUUUCCAGGGAACCUGUACCGGGGAGAAGGCAUCGUGAAUGGGACGCCAGAGAAGGUGUGGGGCUGCGUUAAGCCACUUGCUGGGACCCUGAGAGACCAGUGGGAUGAGAAUGUGAGCAGCUUUGAAAUUGUCGAAAGCAUCACUGAUACGCUGUGUGUCAGCAGAACCGCCACCCCCUCGGCCGCCAUGAAGCUCAUUUCCCCCAGAGACUUCGUGGACUUGGUGUUGGUCAAGAAAUACGAGGAUGGGGCUCUCAGCUCCAACGGUGAGUGCCGGCCGGCCGCCCCGGGAGCACGUCCUGCGUCCCCUGUGCGCGGGCCUCUCCUCGUCGCCUUGGGUGGGAUCGUGUGCCACGGAGGGCCGAGGGGGAGGGCCCACAUGCUAGUAAUCUCAUAUAUAUGUAUGUUUUCCUUUAAUAAAUGUUUAUUCGAGAGAGAGAGACAGAGUGCAAGCAGGGGAGGGGCAGAGAGAGGGGGAGACACAGGAUCCGAAGCAGCUCCAGGCUCCGAGCCGUCAGCACAGAGCCCGACGCGGGGCUGGAACCCACAAACCGUGAGAUCACGACCUGAGCCGAAGGCGGACGCUUAACCGGCUGAGCCCCCCCAGGCGCCCCGUAAUUUUAUGUCUAAGUCUCAGAUGUGGCCGGCGCCCCGCUGGCCGCCAAGGCUCAUCGUCCACACCCGACACAUGCUGCCUGGUUUGACUGCACGGAGCCUCCGUGUACAACGAGUCGCUGGGCCCGUGGGGCCGCGUCCCUGAGGGGCUGUGGGCCGUCCCCUCCUUCCCAGCGGGGAACAGAGUCCUGCCACGGCGUAUUUCACCCGGGGAACCCGCAGCCCCUGCUGUUCCUCCGGAUCCCGGCGGGGGGGGGUGGCGCGUGGCGGGCUUGAGGGGGGGGCCUCUCCUACCACCGUGCCUCAGGCCGUGCAGUGUUCUUUUCUCUAAGAAGCUGGCAGGCUUGGGGAGGCUGUGCACGUGUGUGGACGCCCAUGAGCGUGUGUGCACGUGUGUGUGUGUGUGUGUGGUUGUAAAGGACACGGGUUGGGGGGAUGCUCAGGGGCAGGUCACGGGGCGCCCGUGCUGACUCCUCGGGCCCCAGAUGGUGGGGUCUGCGGGCAGGAGGGGCCACGGUGCCCCGACUGUCUGAGGUCGCAGCUCACUGACCGCUUUGUGCUGUCUUCCAGCUGUCAACGUGGAACAUCCGUCAUGCCCCCCGAGGCCGGGGUACGUGAGAGGAUUCAACCACCCUUGUGGUUGCUUCUGUGAACCUCUGCCCGGGGAGCCCGACCGGACCCACCUGGUCACAUUCUUCCAGACUGACCUCAGCGGGUAC